AUUGAACGCUGGCGGCAGGCCUAACACAUGCAAGUCGAACGGUAACAGGUCUUCGGAUGCUGACGAGUGGCGAACGGGUGAGUAAUACAUCGGAACGUGCCCGAGAGUGGGGGAUAACGAGGCGAAAGCUUUGCUAAUACUGCAUACGAUCUGAGGAUGAAAGCGGGGGAACUUCCGGCCUCGCGCGAUUGGAGCGGCCGAUGGCAGAUUAGGUAGUUGGUGGGAUAAAAGCUUACCAAGCCGACGAUCUGUAGCUGGUCUGAGAGGACGACCAGCCACACUGGGACUGAGACACGGCCCAGACUACUACGGGAGGCAGCAGUGGGGAAUUUUGGACAAUGGGCGAAAGCCUGAUCCAGCAAUGCCGCGUGCAGGAUGAAGGCCUUCGGGUUGUAAACUGCUUUUGUACGGAACGAAAAAGCUUCUCCUAAUACGAGAGGCCCAUGACGGUACCGUAAGAAUAAGCACCGGCUAACUACGUGCCAGCCGCCGCAGUAAGAC
rnacentral:rRNA from 1 species